UGGGGAAUAUUGCACAAUGGGCGCAAGCCUGAUGCAGCCAUGCCGCGUGUGUGAAGAAGGCCUUCGGGUUGUAAAGCACUUUCAGCGAGGAGGAAGGUGGUGAGCUUAAUACGCUCAUCAAUUGACGUUACUCGCAGAAGAAGCACCGGCUAACUCCGUGCCAGCAGCCGCGGUAAUACGGAGGGUGCAAGCGUUAAUCGGAAUUACUGGGCGUAAAGCGCACGCAGGCGGUUUGUUAAGUCAGAUGUGAAAUCCCCGGGCUCAACCUGGGAACUGCAUUGGUGACUGGCAGGCUAGAGUAUGGCAGAGGGGGGUAGAAUUCCACGUGUAGCAGUGAAAUGCGUAGAGAUGUGGAGGAAUACCGAUGGCGAAGGCAGCCCCCUGGGCCAAAUACUGACGCUCAUGCACGAAAAGCGUGGGGAGCAAAACAGGAUUAGAUACCCUGGUAGUCCACGCUGUAAAACGAUGUCGAUUUUGGAGGUUGUGCCCUUGAGGCGUGGCUUCCGGAGCUAAACGCGUUAAAUCGACCGCCUGGGGAGUACGGCCGC
rnacentral:rRNA from 1 species